rnacentral:lncRNA from 1 species
CGGACAGAUGGACACACAGACAUGGCUUUAUCGACUCGGCUAUUGAUGCUGAUCAAGAAUAUCCAUACUUUAUGAGGUCGGAAACGCUUCCUUUUGCGCGUUACAUACAUCCGUUAUUCUACACAAAUACAAUAUACCCUAUUUACUCUUCGAGUACCGGGUAUAAUUAUCCAAUUUAUUGCUUAGUUAAACAAGUACCAAGGAAAAUACAAUCGCAUGUUGUAGCGAUUUCAAUUAAAUUACUUUUAAACAAACAAUCAUUCAAUCAG